AUGGUGACAUUUUUCCAGAUGUUGCAGCUUUCAUGUUCAUCUGAUGUGUACACGGUGCACCAGGGUUAUUCGUGUCAAGAGACUUGCACACGGAUCCAGGUGCGUGCUUCUCAUACUGGCUGUCACGGUGGCCUCUGCAGUGCCCAGGUGGAGGUGCUAAGCCCACCCUGGGCCCCUCCCAUCCACCAACCCUCCUGGCCUAGGAUGGCUGCGUCUCGUUCCUCUGGAAGGGCAGCAUUUGCGUUUGAAGCUUCGAGUUGUUUCUGGAAUCAUGGAGUGUCUGUAGUCCACUUGUCCUCUUCCACUAUGUGACUUCAGUCUCCCAGGCUGUGAGUUCCCCAGAGCAUCGAAGACUGGAGUAUGAAGGAGGGUUUCAUCUGCCCUUCAGCCCAUGUUUGCUAGGAUUUCAGCAACUCCGUCCCCUUUGUUGUUUUCCCGGUCACCCUGGGGCAACUCCCCACGGGACUGCAGAUCCCUGAUGGUCCGAGACUGCAAGGUCCUUUGGCAGCCAUCCGUGGUUUUGCCUGGCCCACACCAGUCCUCCUAUUGGGAAACUUAGGUGAGCAGUUGCUCAUCCUCGUCCUCUGUUUGAUUUUACUGGGGCUAUCUAUCACAAUACCUGCCUUGUUGGCCACAGAAGUGGGCCAGUUGGAUUUCUCGUCUGGGACGUUACUAAUUGAAAUGAAGAGCCUUCCCUCCUAGUUGAGAAGAUGGGCUCAUGACAGCUGCUGGCAGCCUCAUUUCAUGCUUCAUGGAAGAUGCCAGUCUGCAGGAGAGUUCAGCUGAUCAUCAGAGAGAAGAGAAAUGAGCCAUUGAGGGAAGAGUGGGCUCUGGUUUCACUGCCCCAGGACCCAGCUAGCCACCUGGCCCUUCCUUCAGCUUAGUUACUUGAGCCAAUAAAUUCCCUUGUUCGCCUUUAGAUACUUUAAGUUGGGUUUCUGUCACUUGUGAUCAAGAGUCCUAGCUCAUGCAGUCACGUUGACUUCUGUCAUGAAGUCACUCCACUCUCCUCUGGCCCCUUGGCGGCCUCUCCCCAGCUGGUCUCCGAGAGGAAGGAGGCUUUUCCUUCAGCACGUGACGGGUGAUUGUGACGUGCUGUUGGGGAGACAGCCACUGCUUUCAGGAAUGGGGGUUCUUUGAGCUCCUAAAGGUAGUCUUGGGCUUCUUCCAAGACUCAGGCUGUGGAGAAAUUUAUAUCAAGGCCCCUCAUGUGAUACUUCAGAGACCUGAAAGCUGGAAGGAAAAUUGGGACCCCCGUAUCAGCUUCACUUGACCAGCACAUCUGAAGUCCCCGUGGUGUCACUGACCACAGCAAUAGGUAUCGCAGCCUGUUGUGGGACACAGGCUUACCACAGUUGGUCACCUGUCCUUGGGAGGUGUUUCCUUCAUCANNNNNNNNNNNNNNNNNNNNNNNNNNNNNNNNNNNNNNNNNNNNNNNNNNNNNNNNNNNNNNNNNNNNNNNNNNNNNNNNNNNNNNNNNNNNNNNNNNNUGACCACAGCAAUAGGUAUCGCAGCCUGUUGUGGGACACAGGCUUAACACAGUUGGUCACCUGUCCUUGGGAGGUGUUUCCUUCAUCAAGUAGCUGCCUUUACUUGAAUUCAGCAUUCGAUUUCAGGCAAUACAAGGACUGCUCUUCUCAGUCCUGAAUCAUCGUGGUCGCCCACUGCCUUUGUCCUGGAAUCCCGUCACAGAAAAUCAUGUUUUUCUACUUUCGUGUAUGUUAAGUAUGUUUUCUGUCCCCAAUCCUGAGGCAGAGUUUGCUGCCAGAAUUUUCUGAUGAAUGUCCUACAAGGUUAUAGCAAAAUGAGACCAAUUCUUGGUGAUAUUUAGAGUAAGGCUAAGAGCAGCGGCUGCAGAGUUCAGCUGCCUGGUUGAGCUCUCAGCUUUGUCACCUACCAAUGGUGGCUCCUAAAGCCAGUCACUUACCCCUUCUGUAAGGGGUUCUCAUGUAUUACAAAUGGGGAUAACCAUACCACCUGUUAUAAGGACCUUUGUGAAGAGUGGCUAUUCUAAAAGAUAUACAGGGCUUAGCAUAGGUUCUAUCACAUUAGUGUCAUUUAGUAAAUAUUUAGGAGAAGGCAAUGGCAACCCACUCCAGUACUCUUGCCUGGAA
rnacentral:lncRNA from 1 species